AUUGAACGCUGGCGGGAUGCUUUACACAUGCAAGUCGAGCGGAGCGGCGGACGGGUGAGUAAUGCAUAGGAAUCUGCCCGGUAGCGGGGGAUAACGUCGCGAAAGGGGCGCUAAUACCGCAUACUAUUGGAUGAGCCUAGGUCGGAUUAGCUAGUGGGUGAGGUAAAGGCUUACCAAGGCGACGAUCCGUAACUGGUUUGAAAGGAUGACCAGCCACACUGGAACUGAGACACGGUCCAGACUCCUACGGGAGGCAGCAGUGGGGAAUUUUGGACAAUGGGGGAAAGCCUGAUCCAGCCAUGCCGCGUGUGUGAUGAAGGUCUUCGGGUUGUAAAGCACUUUUGGCAGGAAAGCGGUACCUGCAGAAUAAGCACCGGCUAACUACGUGCCAGCAGCCGCGGUAAUAC
rnacentral:rRNA from 1 species